rnacentral:rRNA from 1 species
GACGUAGGGCGCGAGCGUUGUCCGGAUUUAUUGGGCGUAAAGAGCUCGUAGGCGGCUUGUCGCGUCGAAUGUGAAAACUCGGGGCUCAACUCCGAGCUUGCAUUCGAUACGGGCAGGCUGAGUGUUGAGGAGGGACGAGUGAAUUCCUGGUGUAGCGGUGAAAUGCGCAGAUAUCAGGAGGAACACCGGUGGCGAAGGCGGGUCUCUGGGCCGAUACUGACGCUGAGGAGCGAAAGCGUGGGGAGCGAACAGG